ACUCAAAUGAAUUGACGGGGGCCCGCACAAGCAGUGGAGCAUGUGGUUUAAUUCGACGCAACGCGAAGAACCUUACCUAGGCUUGAAACGCAAGUUAAUCCCGAUGAAAGUCGGGGUGCCGCAAGGCGAACUUGUACAGGUGCUGCAUGGCUGUCGUCAGCUCGUGCCGUGAGGUGUUGGGUUAAGUCCCGCAACGAGCGCAACCCUCGUUCUUAGUUGCCAUCAGGUAAUGCUGAGCACUCUAGGAAGACUGCCUACGCAAGUAGUGAGGAAGGUGGGGAUGACGUCAAGUCCGCAUGGCCCUUACGCCUAGGGCCACACACGUGCUACAAUGGCCAUUACAAAGGGCUGCAAUACCGCGAGGUGGAGCUAAUCCCUAAAAAAUGGUCUCAGUUCGGAUUGGAGUCUGCAACUCGACUCCAUGAAGUUGGAAUUGCUAGUAAUCGCGCAUCAGCACGGCGCGGUGAAUACGUUCCCGGGCCUUGUACACACCGCCCGU
rnacentral:rRNA from 1 species